GGGCGAUUGUUGGUUUAGUGGUAUAAUGACCGCUUAGCAUGCGGUAGGUCCUGGGUUCGAUUCCCAGAUCGUCCA
rnacentral:tRNA from 1 species